AACGAACGCUGGCGGCAGGCCUAACACAUGCAAGUCGAGCGAGAUCUUCGGGUCUAGCGGCGGACGGGUGAGUAACGCGUGGGAAUAUGCCUCUUGGUACGGAAUAGCCUCGGGAAACUGGGAGUAAUACCGUAUGUGCCCUUUGGGGGAAAGAUUUAUCGCCAAGAGAUUAGCCCGCGUUGGAUUAGGUAGUUGGUGGGGUAAUGGCCUACCAAGCCGACGAUCCAUAGCUGGUUUGAGAGGAAGAUCAGCCACACUGGGACUGAGACACGGCCCAGACUCCUACGGGAGGCAGCAGUGGGGAAUCUUAGACAAUGGGGGCAACCCUGAUCUAGCCAUGCCGCGUGAGUGAUGAAGGCCUUAGGGUUGUAAAGCUCUUUCAGCUGGGAAGAUAAUGACGGUACCAGCAGAAGAAGCCCCGGCUAACUCCGUG
rnacentral:rRNA from 1 species